UGGCAGUGGAAGCAAAGGUAUUUUGUUGGAGAUCUCUGCCUACCUGAGGCCUUCUGAGGUGCUGUACAUUCAUAAAUGCAUGUUUCCUGCCCCAAAUGCUUUGGAACAGCUUCAGUGGGAUGUUGGAUUGUCUGGUUGAUUCAGUGUCUUUGUACCUUGAGGAUCCCCUCACCCUGAGCACAAGUCUGUCAAAGUCAAUUCUAACAGCUGGUGAAGCCCUUCAGUGCUCAGAUUGCAGGAGCCUGAUAGAAAUAUCCCAAGAUGAAGUCCUGACUUACAUGCCUCUAUUCACCUGUGUGUGCAUCGCAUGCCUGCUCCGAUCAGCACCCAGCAUACAGAAGAAUAAGAUCUAAGCUAUCAACACACCAUGGACAUUCCCAGGCAACUAAUCAAUAAUCUAGAGGUCAAAUGAAACUGCACGUUACUCAAGGCUGCAGAUGGCAGGACCCGAACAGGAUAGGUCAGCAUUUGCCUGAAAUCCCAUCAUGGCAGCUUCUGCAUUUGAUGAGUACUACCAGCGCAGAUAGAGGCACCAUGAAGUGAAUCCCAGCCACACAGAACAAAUUUAAGUCCUCUGUCAUAACAUGAAUGCUCUUUCUCCUGGCGAUGUCCUUUCACUUCUUCCCCAUGCCUCAGAGUCCCACUCCGUAGAAGCCUCUUUUUUUUGCAUGGUUUA